UAGGGAAUCUUCGGCAAUGGGGGGAACCCUGACCGAGCAACGCCGCGUGAGUGAAGAAGGUUUUCGGAUCGUAAAGCUCUGUUGUUAAGGAAGAACGAGUGUGAGAAUGGAAAGUUCAUACUGUGACGGUACUUAACCAGAAAGGGACGGCUAACUACGUGCCAGCAGCCGCGGUAAUACGUAGGUCCCGAGCGCUGUCCGGAUUUAUUGGGCGUAAAGCGAGCGCAGGCGGUUAGAUAAGUCUGAAGUUAAAGGCAGUGGCUCAACCAUUGUAGGCUUUGGAAACUGUUUAACUUGAGUGCAGAAGGGGAGAGUGGAAUUCCAUGUGUAGCGGUGAAAUGCGUAGAUAUAUGGAGGAACACCGGUGGCGAAAGCGGCUCUCUGGUCUGUAACUGACGCUGAGGCUCGAAAGCGUGGGGAGCGAACAGG
rnacentral:rRNA from 1 species